GCUGGGCAUGGUGGCGCACGCCUGUAAUCCCAGCUACUCAGGAGGCUGAGGCAGGAGAAUCGCUUGAACCCGGGAGGUGGAGGUUGCAGUGAGCCGAGAUCAUGCCACUGCACUCCAGCCUGGGUGACAGAGGGAGACCCUGUCUCAA
rnacentral:SRP_RNA from 1 species